rnacentral:lncRNA from 1 species
UUCUGAUAGACUCUCAUAAUAUCCUUAAUUCCUAACGACUUUGUUCCUAGAUAUUGCCAAAAGGUAAAGAGUCUCCCUCUCAAGGCAUCUAUCAUGUUAUCGAUGUUUGGAGAGAAUACAGCCACAUGGAUAUUUAACGCAUUUCCAUAUGCAAUACAUGUCUGUUUUUUUCUUUCUCAAAAGGCUUUGACCAUUCUACUCGGGCGCACUUCCAUCAGGUAUAUUAUUUGUUAGGCCCUUUUAUAGUUUUUGUGGACAAAAACAAUUUCAUUGAGGAAAGAAGUGAUACGCUUACAAAUUUGAUAGAACAAACGAUUUCUUGAUAAAUUUCUCAACCUUGAGGUCAAGGUUGCCUUUGAAGGGUAUGGCCAUGAUUGAUAGGCACUAAGCAGCCCUAAAAACAAGGUGAGAUGAGAUGGAUUUAGGCUCCACUUGGUUUGGCUAAAUUAGAAUUGGAAUGACUCGAAAUUCAAUAUAAUAUGUUUUUCUAGUCAAACUUGAUUCGAUUUUAGUUCGUGAAUUGUUCAUUUCGACUAGUCACCUUAAAUUGGUUUAUUUAAUAUAUAUAAAUUUAAAAUUUAUAUAUAUAAUCGUCCAACUCAUUAACUAAACGAGUCGUACUAUAUGUGGCUUAAAUUCGACUCGAGUAUUUAAUGAACUCAAUUUUUAAAUCAAACUCAACUCAUUUGGUUCAUGAACAAACUUUAUCGAGUUAAGUAAGGAAUCGAGUUUCAACCAAAUGUUAAGUUGAUUCGUUUUAUUAUUCCCUUCAAUCAUAUGUCGAUAUAGAUUAUUAGGUCCAUUUGAAAAGAGUAGGAUAACUAUUAUUAUUAUUUAGACAAUCAAUUCAUUGAUAAACUUUAUUAUUUGAAGUUCUAAAAUGAUAUGGGCGUCAUUUGUCAUUGUGAACUUGUCGCUUUUUAGGUAGCAAGUAUCUUUUUGACUUAGUUAAUAAGCUAUUAGAGUCAUUUGAUAAACAAGAAUGAUUGGGAUUGUAGCUUUUAAAAAUGGAGAUUAUAGCAUUUAAAAACUACUUUUCGGAAAGUUACUUGAGGUCUCUUUAUCAAAACUAGCUUGUAGUUGUGAGCUUGUAACUUGUUCUGUGAAGGUAUCUAGAAGCUUGUUGAUGUAUAAGUAGUUUAUUAAACUAAAUUUGUUCGGUAAAACUAGCUUUGUGAUAAGUGCCAAAAAUACCUAUUUUUCAUACACUUUCCAUGACACUUAUCCUAUGUAAUUCAUGCAAAACCAACUAAAUUCAAUAUUUUUUUAAAUAAAUUGCCAUAGUUUGAUUGUAUAUUUUGUCCACCUCUUUUCCAAAUAUUUGUGUGAAGUUUUUUAGAAAAAUUCAAAGAGAAGAAAAAUUCAGAAUAAUAGUCAAGCAAGGAGGUGUCCACAUAAGCCACUUUUGAUGUUCACAUGACAAGCUAAGUGCUUGGCCAAAAGCAUGGACCAAAACACAUGAAGCUGCUCACUAAGCAACUUGGCGUAGACAAACAGGACCACCUAGCUGACUUGUCACCAACUUGACUCGGUUAGACACAAGCUUUACGCGGUUAGACUCAAGCCUGACACAAGCCAACUUGCUCAAGCAGGCAGCUCAACGUGCACCUGGACCGGCCAAUCUCGAACCACACACCUGACCAGAGCAGGACAUCAGCCAGCUAAGCGGUGCCACCUAAGCAGCUAGGUGGGCUGGACCUAGCCAGUGGUCAACUUGACUUGGACACCAAGCAAUGAUGGCAUCAUGCAUGACCUCACUUGACAAUGUCUCUAAGCACUUUUCAGAAUAGCCCACAAUAGCCUGGUCAAGUAGCUCACAAGUAGCUUUAGUGAGUCAACAACAAGCAGAUGACUAAGCUGCUUGGCUAAGGACCAAACCUAUGCUGAAGGGUUUGGUGCGCCUGGCGUGGACCAAGAGGGACAACAAUGACCUGGAUGCCUAUAAAUAGAGGCCAUCUUCCACCAUUAAAAAAAAAACUUCCAUUCUUCACUUCUUCUCUCAAAAACACUUAUCUAUAGAAUUCUUGUACUUUGGGGCCACAAUUCCAAGCUAGUUCUUAGGUAAAUUUUGUAAUUUUUUCUUAGAAUUCAAGAGGAGAAAGGAGUUGGCAAACGUGAUGCAAAAGUUAAUUUUGUAAUCUCAUUUGGUUCCAAAAGCAUCUCAUCCUUGGAUAGAUGGCUAAUGCUCCUACA